rnacentral:ncRNA from 1 species
UUCAUCGAGAGCAGCUGAGGGAUUUGGCCCUAUGACGCUGCGGCAACCCCCUUUCUGGGAAGGUGCCAAUUCCAACGGGAACCUGGUUCCUGGCAGAUGAA